AACUUUUCGAAUCCGUGCUGAGAUUUCGUUAGACAUCAACCCAUCUGGGCUGAUUCGACUUCCAAGAUAAGUGAAGUU
rfam:Schistosoma haematobium scaffold611_24, whole genome shotgun sequence.